CCGUAUCACAUUGAAACAUUGGUUCCCAUACAAUCACUGAAGUUAAGCAACAUCUAGUUUGGUCAGUACCUAGAUGGGUAACUGCUUGGGAAUACCAGGUGCUGUAA